AUUGAACGCUGGCGGCAGGCUUAACACAUGCAAGUCGAGCGCGCGGCGGACGGGUGAGUAAUGUCUGGGAAACUGCCUGAUGGAGGGGUAUAACUACUAGAAGCUGUAUCUAAUACCGCAUACCCUCAGAUGUGCCCAUAUGGGAUUAGCUAGUAGGUGGGGUAAUGGCUCCCCUAGGCGACGAUCCCUAGCUGGUCUGAGAGGAUGACCAGCCACACUGGAACUGAGACACGGUCCAGACUCCGACGGGAGGCAGCAGUGGGGAAUAUUGCACAAUGGGCGCAAGCCUGAUGCAGCCAUGCCGCGUGUGUGAAGAAGGCCUUCGGGUUGUAAAGCACUUUCAGCGGGGAGGCGUUACUCGCAGAAGAAGCACCGGCUAACUCCGUGCCAGCAGCCGCGGUAAUAC
rnacentral:rRNA from 1 species